rnacentral:rRNA from 1 species
UGGGGAAUAUUGCACAAUGGGCGCAAGCCUGAUGCAGCAACGCCGCGUGAACGAUGAAGGUCUUCGGAUCGUAAAGUUCUGUUGCAGGGGAAGAUAAUGACGGUACCCUGUGAGGAAGCCCCGGCGAACUACGUGCCAGCAGCCGCGGUAAUACGUAGGGGGCUAGCGUUAUCCGGAUUUACUGGGCGUAAAGGGUGCGUAGGUGGUCCUUCAAGUCGGUGGUUAAAGGCUACGGCUCAACCGUAGUAAGCCGCCGAAACUGGAGGACUUGAGUGCAGGAGAGGAAAGUGGAAUUCCCAGUGUAGCGGUGAAAUGCGUAGAUAUUGGGAGGAACACCAGUAGCGAAGGCGGCUUUCUGGACUGCAACUGACACUGAGGCACGAAAGCGUGGGUAGCAAACAGG